GAGGAAGAGGAGGAGGAGUUGGUUGACCUCUCCUACGACAUCUACUGCUCCUACAGGAUUCCCCGCGCGGACAAGGCCCUCGAAGUGAAAUACGGUGUUGACAGCUUCUCUAUGAACGUCUACAGCCAGGCGUCAUCGCACAGUCCAGACUUGCCCCCGCUCUACGUCACCGACAAGACUCCACUCUGCAUAGAGAACAGCCUGCUAGGAGAUCCGCGGCUGGACCUUGUCACGGAGGAAUGCUGGGUGUCCGUCUCCUCCUCGCCUGACACCGGGGACAACCACUAUCUCGUCCAGAACAGGUGUGGGCGGUGGAUCAGUCGGUGAAAGCUGCAGCAGGCUUCGGAGCAGGAGCAGGCUCAGCGUCUGUGCUUCACACUGUCAGCGCUACUGGCAGCAGGAAUUACACUCACGUCUACCUGCACUGCCGCGUGAGCGUGUGCACCGCAUAGCCAAGUACGGCCAGCCAGAGAUAGACGAGUGCGCGGGCUGGACCUGUACUGGCCUGAGCAGUACGCUU